UGAGGCAACAACAAAGCAAAGGUUUGGUAAUACAAUUUUUCCACAAGAAAAAUAUUCAAAUGUGAAAAGAAUAAUAUAAGACAAUACAGAAGCAAAUGAGGUCACAAGGUUAUAUUUUUAUUAUACCUUCUCCUGUUUUUGGUUAGGGAGGCAGGUAAGACACCUGUAAUUUUCUUUUGGGGUUUUUCUGUGAAGGUAAGCCAGCUGCAUUUCAUUUCUAGAGUUUUUGUUUGUUGUUUUGGCCAUGCUCACCCUGACACCCGCUACCUUUUGGGACUUAAUAAACUGACUGGCUGUUGUGAAAUCCGUGGCAGCUGGUUUUUUUUGGUUCGUCUUCCUUGAGAGCAGGGAGUGUGGGGCAUUUCUCCUUAUUUUUAUUUUCCUUAUGUUGCACGUCGGUUUUCCCUGGGCUGGGGUGUAACACCAUCCAAAUGUUGCAGUAGAAAUGAAGACUCAUCAGACCAGGCAACGCCUUUCCAAUCAUCUCUCUCACAAUUUUGACAUGCUUUUCUGCAUACCUUGGGUGUAAUGAGUGGUUAUUUGAGUUAUGGCUACCCUCCUCUCAGCUUGAAGCAAUCUGGCCAUUCUUCUCUGACAACAACAAGCGAUUUUCACUUGGAGCAUUGCAACUCUUUCAAUAUUUUCUCUUUGUCAGACCAUUAAAACUCUUUGUCAAACCA